UUGCACGCUGGCGGCAGGCCUCACACCUGCAAGUCGAGCGGAUGAAGGGAGCUUGCUCCUGGAUUCAGCGGCGGACGGGUGAGUAAUGCCUAGGAAUCUGCCUGGUAGUGGGGGAUAACGUCCGGAAACGGGCGCUAAUACCGCAUACGUCCUGAGGGAGAAAGUGGGGGAUCUUCGGACCUCACGCUAUCAGAUGAGCCUAGGUCGGAUUAGCUAGUUGGUGGGGUAAAGGCCUACCAAGGCGACGAUCCGUAACUGGUCUGAGAGGAUGAUCAGUCACACUGGAACGGAGACACGGUCCAGACUCCUACGGGAGGCAGCAGUGGGGAAUAUUGGACAAUGGGCGAAAGCCUGAUCCAGCCACGCCGCGUGUGUGAAGAAGGUCUUCGGAUUGUAAAGCACUUUAAGUUGGGAGGAAGGGCAGUAAGUUAAUACCUUGCUGUUUUGACGUUACCAACAGAAUAAGCACCGGCUAACUUCGUG
rnacentral:rRNA from 1 species